rnacentral:lncRNA from 1 species
AUGGAAACUUGCAUUUGGGAUGAGCUGACAAGCUCCAAGACAGGGGUAACGCCGUCCUCUGAAAACCCCAGUGGUGCUACUUCUAGUGUCAGCCAAGGAAAGCCUUCUUUAAGACGAAUUAAAGGGAGACUGCACAGGAGCAAGAGCCUCGAUAGCAUCGAUUUCUGUGAACUCACUGUGAGUGGAUGGUUUAAGACUUUUCUUCCUUUUCAAAGCAUAUGAAAAAAUUAAAUUUUACAAAAUUUCAUUAAAAAGCAACAAGGCUUAUUUUGUGUUAAGCAUUUUUCAGUAAAAACUGGUUUACCCAGCAGGUUACCAACCGGUAUAACUUCCUUAACCAGUACCCAUAGAUACAUUUAUGAUAAGUGGUUCAUAAUGAUGAUUCUGGUUCACAGACCAAGAUAAAGAUGUGUUUCCUGAACUCUACAAUAAAAACUGAAUUAAGGUCAGUGGAUGAAAUGAAUUUCUUGGAAAAUCACAAAUCCACAUGUUAAUGUAGGUACAGACCUAAGUAUUUGAUGAACCCCAAACACCC